GGGUCGGUACCCGAGUGGCCAAAGGGAGCAGUCUGUAAAACUGCCGGUUCCGCCUACGUAGGUUCGAAUCCUACCCGGCCCA
rnacentral:tRNA from 1 species